GGUGUCCCCAAAAGGGGUGGGGGGCGCGCCACCGGGCACCCCAAGGUGCGGGGGCGCACGGGGUGGGUGCCGAGCGUUGCCCCAAUGUCCCCCCACCCGCCCCGCCUCGGGGGUUUGGGGACGUGGGGACACGGGGACGGCUCCGCGUCCCCUCCCUGGGGGUGAACCCCGGGUUUGGGACCCCCGUGGGGUGGCGGCGGGGACGAGGCGGGGGCCACGUGGGGACGCGCCUUCACACGUGGCCGCCAAGCACGAGGGACACAGCAGCGGCCUGGAUCCGGGUGCAAGGGGGGGUCCCCAGGUUGUCCCCAGCUUGGGGACGCCGAGGGGGUGUGAACGUCCCCUGGGGAUGGAGCUGGGGGUGGUGGCAGGGGGGUGACACCCAUGGGUGCUCCCCAGUGGGGUUUGGGGAUGGGCGUGGGUGGCUCGGGUCCCCUGGGUGGCCCCGGGGUGGCACAGGACCACGUGCCAUCACCCCGCCGAUGUCCCUGCACCCGUGUGCCACUCGGCCUUGUGCCAAUGGCAGUGCCACCAUCCCCGAGGGGACAAAGACACGAGUGGGGGGGUCUUUAAAUUGUCCCCGUGUCCCCCACAUCCCCGCCGUGCCACCCGCACCACCCUCCGACCCACCCUGGCCCAGCUCAGCGCGGCUGCUGCAGGAAGGGACUGGGGUUUUCCUGGAAAAAUGGGGGUCGGGGGUGUCCCUACCUGUCCCCCCCCCAAAAAAAAAGAACCCCCAGGCCCACGGGUGGGCGGUCGGAGCCUCGUGGCGGGCCUGCAAUUAGGCUUCUUCGUUAUGAGCUGCUCGAUAUUCGGCGGCGGUUGUGCAGCCUGUUGAAUAUGCAUGAGCCCGGCUUGCGUGGGUGGGGGGCCGCAGCCGCAUCCCAAAAAGGGGGGGGGGGGGGUUGCUUUUGUGGGAUGCCGGGGCGAUGCCCGGUGGAAACGGGGCUGGUUCCAGGUGGGAUUUGGCAUCUCCGUCCCCAUUUGUGGCCCCUGCGUGGGGAUGGGGCUGGGGGGGCCCCAAAGCAACCUCGGGGUCCAUCCGGGGGGGCAACGGGGCAGGGAUGGGAUGUGGGGACC
rnacentral:lncRNA from 1 species